rnacentral:rRNA from 1 species
CCUACGGGAGGCAGCAGUGAGGAAUAUUGGUCAAUGGACGAGAGUCUGAACCAGCCAAGUAGCGUGAAGGAUGACUGCCCUAUGGGUUGUAAACUUCUUUUAUAUGGGAAUAAAAUGUUCCACGUGUGGGAUUUUGUAUGUACCAUAUGAAUAAGGAUCGGCUAACACCGUGCCAGCAGCCGCGGUAAUACGGAGGAUCCGAGCGUUAGCCGGAUUUAUUGGGUUUAAAGGGAGCGUAGGUGGGUCGUUAAGUCAGUUGUGAAAGUUUGCGGCUCAACCGUAAAAUUGCAGUUGAUACUGGCGGUCUUGAGUACAGUAGAGGUGGGCGGAAUUCGUGGUGUAGCGGUGAAAUGCUUAGAUAUCACGAAGAACUCCGAUUGCGAAGGCAGCUCACUGGACUGCAACUGACACUGAGGCUCGAAAGUGUGGGUAUCAAACAGGAUUAGAUACCCCUGUAGUC